rnacentral:misc_RNA from 1 species
CAUCAGCUGCCAGACGUCGCUAUGUUGUGAAGGAUGAAGGUCCAGGACAACACAACCCAAGAGUCAUAUUACUUAUAGUUAACUUGUGCUCUCCUAAUUAAUUUUUCCAGAUGAACAGUUCCCGAAUGAAGAGUUCACGUGUGGUUGUGUUAUUGAUAGUGGGAGUGAGUGCUGUGGUGAUGCUCCUGUACCUUCACUUAGCAACAGAAGUAGCACACCUUCGAAACACCAUGCACACUCACUCUCCCUUGAGUUAUCAGGAAGGUACUCCACCAGUUGGCAGAAACAUCCUAGACCCUGACAACUUGGUGAUCAUAUACAACAGAGUACCAAAGACUGGUUCCACCUCAUUUAUAGGACUGGCAUAUGAUCUGUGUUCCAAAAAUAAAUUCAAUGUUAUUCACUUGAACACAACCAGGAACACUCCAACACUGUCUCUAACAGAUCAGAUGCGAUUUGUGUACAAUGUAUCAAAUUGGGUGGAAAAGAAACCUGGAAUAUAUCAUGGACAUCUUGCAUACCUUGAUUUCAACAGAUUUGGUGUUAGUCAACAGCCAAUUUACAUCAAUAUAAUACGAAAGCCUCUGGAUCGCCUGAUAUCAUACUAUUACUUUGUCCGCUACGGCGAUGAUCUUCGACCUUAUCACAUUAGAAGAAGAAUGGGAGACAAAAUGACACUGGAUGAAUGUGUAGCUAUGGAACAUCCCGAUUGCUCCACAACACAUCUAUGGGUACAAGUUCCUUUCUUUUGUGGUCACCAUGCUGAAUGCUGGGUCCCAGGAUCUGGUUGGGCUCUUGAACAGGCAAAACACAACCUACUUCACAAUUAUUUUUUGGUUGGGGUGACUGAGGAAAUGGUGGAUUUUGUAGCCAUGCUGGAAUACUCGCUCCCUCGCUUUUUCAGAGGCUCUUAUGAUCUCUAUCUUUCUGGAUCUAAAUCUCAUCUGAGAAAAACUGUGAAAAAAAUUCUACCUUCAGAAGACACUAUAGCAAAACUUCAGAAUACUAAGGUAUGGAGAUUGGAAAACGAUUUUUACAACUUUGCACUUGACCAUUUCCAUUUCUUACGGAAGAAGACCCUGGUAGAGUCUGAGGGCAAUGGACACCUAAUGAACAGAGGACAAAAGUUUGCAUACGAGAAAAUUAAACCUAAAAGAAGCUAGGAUAUGAUUCCUGCAGAAGAAAAUAUGCAAGUAUAAAGUGAUGCCAGACUAAAGGAGCACUUAGUAGCUAAUGAAAGAAAAGACAAAUGGCUUUGCUCUCCUGUGAGCUGUUCUCAGGAUUUGAUUUAUAUUUGAAGACUUCACCAAAAGUCUUUAAGUAUUCAUUUUUCUAUGAAUCUUUUGUGAUUCAGCACAGGUUUAUUGUCUUCUGAUGCAUUUUCUUCUUCUUCAGGCAUGGU